GCCCGUUUCAGGGCUGUUACGGUCAGAGUCCAAUAUGGCAACCCCAGGGAGCCGGCAAAAGGCACCCCCGAAAGAGGCAGCUUCAAUGUCUGCCAAGCCCAGAGAGGCAGAGCAGUUCAGUCCCUGUGCCUGCCAAGAAGCAUGAAGAGCCUUCCUGCUUCCUGUCCCCUUAUCUCUCCUUCCUUCAGCCUGGAAAGGGGUGAGCUGAGAAAGGGAGCGGAUGGCCCUGCCAGCUUCACAUCUUUGCUGAGCAACAAGAGGAAGUGUCAUCUUUGAAUAAAGAUCGAAGAGGGGCGCCUGGGUGGCUCAGUCGGUUGAGCGUCCGACUUUGGCUCAGGUCAUGAUCUUGCAGUCCGUGAGUUCGAGUCCCGCGUCAGGCCCUGUGCUGACAGCUCGGAGCCUGGAGCCUGCUUCUGAUUCUGUGUCUCCCUCUCUCUCUGCCCCUCCCCUGCUCAUGCUCUGUCUCUCUCACUCUCAAAAAUGAAUAAAUGUUUAAAAAAUUAAAAAAAAAAAAAGAUAGAAGAUUGGAUUUGAUGGGAGUGGAUUGCCAGGGCUUCCCUGGCUUCAUCACAAAGGGGCAGAGGAGACAAAAAUCAAGUUACAGUUUGAUGUGCCUCUGGUGUCACAUGUACUCAACAUGGUUGGCCUAAAUGACAGUAGAGGAGGUUGGCAGACCCGGUGAACACGGUGGAAGUGUCAUAUGCAUGAUGUACUUUCAGAGAACCAUGUCCCCAACGCUCCCAGGCCCCAGGUAUCUCCAUCUCCUCUCCUGGUCUGCUUGAUGAGAGUCUUGGAAAACUGUCAUUGUUACUUGUGAGCUAUGACACAUCUGGGCACCCACAAGAGAAACUCAAUUCUCAAAGCAGAGGAAGAAACAGAGGCUUCGAGAAGUGAAAUGAUUUACCCGAAGUCACACAAUUGGAGCAAUGGGGACUACGUUCAAACCCAUGUCUGAGGGAUUCUGAAGACUACACUUCAUCUAUUAUACCUCUCUCCCUUCCCCCUGCUAUUUUUGUGUUUUAUAUAAGAGGAAACUGAAACUCA